rnacentral:lncRNA from 1 species
GCGGGGGGAGGCCGAGACGUGCGGCGAUUGGGCGUCUGCUGGAGAUUGCUGGGGCUUGCGUCGGCGCUCCUUGCUGUUUAGGGCUAGGGUUCUUUUUGUUUUUUAUUUUGCUUUGGGCCAGGGUUGUUUUGGGUUAUUGGGCCGUGUAAAAUGUAGGCCUAUUUAUUAUUUUUUUUGUUUUGGUUUAUUAUGUGGGCCCAGGGUCGAUUGGGCCCUAUUACAUACAUCAACCUCUCACCGGCAGAAAUUUUUGGAAUUUCGACGUAAUUUUUUCAAUUUUCC